rnacentral:rRNA from 1 species
CUGGCUCAGGAUGAACGCUGGCGGCGUGCCUAACACAUGCAAGUCGAGCGAUUCUCUUCGGAGAAGAGCGGCGGACGGGUGAGUAACGCGUGGGUAACCUGCCCUGUACACACGGAUAACAUACCGAAAGGUAUGCUAAUACGGGAUAACAUAAGAAAUUCGCAUGUUUUUCUU